rnacentral:rRNA from 1 species
AUUGAACGCUGGCGGAAUGCUUUACACAUGCAAGUCGAACGGCAGCACGGACUUCGGUCUGGUGGCGAGUGGCGAACGGGUGAGUAAUAUAUCGGAACGUGCCCAGUCGUGGGGGAUAACGUAGUGAAAAUUACGCUAAUACCGCAUACGAUCUAUGGGUGAAAGCGGGGGACCUUUGGCCCGCGCGCGCUGGGAGCGGCCGAUAUCAGAUUAGGUAGUUGGUGGGGUAGAGGCUCACCAAGCCAACGAUCUGUAGCUGGUCUGAGAGGACGACCAGCCACACUGGGACUGAGACACGGCCCAGACUCCUACGGGAGGCAGCAGUGGGGAAUUUUGGACAAUGGACGCAAGUCUGAUCCAGCCAUUCCGCGUGCAGGACGAAGGCCUUCGGGUUGUAAACUGCUUUUGUACAGAACGAAAAGGUUUCUACUAAUACUAGGAGCUCAUGACGGUACUGUAAGAAUGAGCACCGGCUAACUACGUGCCAGCCGCCGCGGUAA